GAACGCUGGCGGCGUGCCUAAUACACGCAAGUCGAACGAAGCUUUCUUUCACCGAAUGCUUGCAUUCACCGAAAGAAGUUUAGUGGCGAACGGGUGAGUAACACGUAGGCAACCUGCCCAAAAGAGGGGGAUAACACUUGGAAACAGGUGCUAAUACCGCAUAACCAUGAACACCGCAUGAUGUUCAUGUAAAAGACGGCUUUUGCUGUCACUUUUGGAUGGGCCUGCGGCGUAUUAACUUGUUGGUGGGGUAACGGCCUACCAAGGUGAUGAUACGUAGCCGAACUGAGAGGUUGAUCGGCCACAUUGGGACUGAGACACGGCCCAAACUCCUACGGGAGGCAGCAGUAGGGAAACUUCCACAAUGGACGAAAGUCUGAUGGAGCAACGCCGCGUGAAUGAAGAAGGCCUUCGGGUCGUAAAAUUCUGUUGUCAGAGAAGAACGUGCGUGAGAGUAACUGUUCACGUAUUGACGGUAUCUGACCAGAAAGCCACGGCUAACUACGUGCCAGCAGCCGCGGUAAUACGUAGGUGGCGAGCGCUGUCCGGAUUUAUUGGGCGUAAAGGGAACGCAGGCGGUCUUUUAAGUCUGAUGUGAAAGCCUUCGGCUUAACCGAAGUAGUGCAUUGGAAACUGGAAGACUCGAGUGCAGAAGAGGAGAGUGGAACUCCAUGUGUAGCGGUGAAAUGCGUAGAUAUAUGGAAGAACACCAGUGGCGAAAGCGGCUCUCUGGUCUGUAACUGACGCUGAGGUUCGAAAGCGUGGGUAGCAAACAGGAUUAGAUACCCUGGUAGUCCACGCCGUAAACGAUGAGUGCUAAGUGUUGGAGGGUUUCCGCCCUUCAGUGCUGCAGCUAACGCAUUAAG
rnacentral:rRNA from 2 species